rnacentral:rRNA from 1 species
AUCAACGAUACGGGACUCAUCUGAGGCCCCGUAAUCGGAAUGAGUACACUUUAAAACCGUCCCCGAGGAUCUAUUGGAGGGCAAGUCUGGUGCCAGCAGCCGCGGUAAUUCCAGCUCCAAUAGCGUAUAUUAAAGUUGUUGUGGUUAAAAAGCUCGUAGUUGGAUCUCGGCGGUCUGAGGGCGGUUCACUUGCUAGUGCUACUGCCCUAUAGACCGUAGUUUUGCCAGAGGUCUCAGGGUGCUCUUAAUCGAGUGUCUUGUGAUGCUGGCAGGUUUACUUUGAAAAAAUUAGAGUGCUCAAAGCAGGCUUUUACGCCUGAAUAUUCGUGCAUGGAAUAAUAGAAUAGGAAGUCGUUUCUAUUUUGUUGGUUUUCGGAAAUCGACUUAAUGAUUAAUAGGGACAGUCGGGGGCAUUUGUAUUCAAACGACAGAGGUGAAAUUCUUGGACCGUUUGAAGACAAACUACUGCGAAAGCAUUUGCCAAGAAUGUUUUCAUUAAUCAAGAACGAAAGUUAGAGGUUCGAAGGCGAUUAGAUACCGCCCUAGUUCUAACCAUAAACGAUGCCAGCUAGCGAUCUGCCGACGUUUUUUUUGUAGACUCGGCAGGAAGCUUCCGGGAAACCAAAGCAUUUGGGUUCCAGGGGAAGUAUGGUUGCAAAGCUGAAACUUAAAGGAAUUGACGGAAGGGCACCACCAGGAGUGGAGCCUGUGGCUUAAUUUGACUCAACACGGGAAAUCUCACCAGGCCCGGACACUGGAAGGAUUGACAGAUUGAUAGCUCUUUCUUGAUUCGGUGGGUGGUGGUGCAUGGCCGUUCUUAGUUGGUGGAGUGAUUUGUCUGGUUAAUUCCGAUAACGAACGAGACUCUGUCCUGCUAAAUAGUGUCCGCCUCUCUUCUGGGCGGACAAUUCUUCUUAGAGGGACUGGCGACUCUCAGUCGCACGAGAUUGAGCAAUAACAGGUCUGUGAUGCCCUUAGAUGUUCUGGGCCGCACACGCGCUACACUGAAUAGAUCAACGUGKUCCCCCUGUCCGAGAGGACCGGGUAAACCGCUGAACCCUAUUCGUGGUAGGGAUCGGGGCUUGCAAUUGUUCCCCGUAAACCAGGAAUUCCCAGUAGGCGCAAGUCAUAAGCUUGUGUCGAUUACGUCCCUGCCCUUUGUACACACCGCCCGUCGCUACUACCGAUUGAACGUUUUAGUGAG